GCUUACCUUUUCUAUCUGGCUUGGUACACCUCUUCACGAGCCUUAUGGAGUCCUUCACGAACUGCCGGCUAGGCUCUACAAACUGCAUUAUCUGGUCCAUGUGGUUUUCUGUUAUUUACCUGAGUUAUUCAAUGAAAGCGUCUCAGCUGCCUCCACUCAGCCAGUCUGUUCGGAAGAAAA